GGAGAUUUAGCUCAGUGGAAGAGUGCUUGCCUAGCAAGCACAAGGCCCUGGGUUCAGUCCCCAGCUCCG
rnacentral:tRNA from 1 species